GACGAACGCUGGCGGCGUGCCUAAUACAUGCAAGUAGAACGCUGAAGGAGGAGCUUGCUUCUCUGGAUGAGUUGCGAACGGGUGAGUAACGCGUAGGUAACCUGCCUGGUAGCGGGGGAUAACUAUUGGAAACGAUAGCUAAUACCGCAUAAUAGUAGAUGUUGCAUGACAUUUGCUUAAAAGGUGCAAUUGCAUCACUACCAGAUGGACCUGCGUUGUAUUAGCUAGUUGGUGAGGUAACGGCUCACCAAGGCGACGAUACAUAGCCGACCUGAGAGGGUGAUCGGCCACACUGGGACUGAGACACGGCCCAGACUCCUACGGGAGGCAGCAGUAGGGAAUCUUCGGCAAUGGACGGAAGUCUGACCGAGCAACGCCGCGUGAGUGAAGAAGGUUUUCGGAUCGUAAAGCUCUGUUGUAAGAGAAGAACGAGUGUGAGAGUGGAAAGUUCACAAUGUGACGGUAUCUUACCAGAAAGGGACGGCUAACUACGUG
rnacentral:rRNA from 1 species